UACGUAGGGGGCAAGCGUUGUCCGGAUUUAUUGGGCGUAAAGAGUGUGUAGGCGGCUAGACAGGUCCGUUGUGAAAACUCGAGGCUCAACCUCGAGACGCCGAUGGAAACCGUCUGGCUAGAGUCCGGAAGAGGAGAGUGGAAUUCCUGGUGUAGCGGUGAAAUGCGCAGAUAUCAGGAAGAACACCAAUGGCGAAAGCAGCUUUCUGGGACGGUACUGACGCUGAGACGCGAAAGCGUGGGGAGCGAACAGG
rnacentral:rRNA from 1 species